GAGUUUGAUCAUGGCUCAGGAUGAACGCUAGCGGCAGGCUUAACACAUGCAAGUCGAGGGGCAGCAAGGGUAGCAAUACCUGUUGGCGACCGGCAAACGGGUGCGGAACACGUACGCAAUCUACCUUUAUCUGGGGCAUAGCCCGAAGAAAUUCGGAUUAACACCCCAUAAAAUAACAGAGUGGCAUCACUUAAUUAUUAAAACUCCGGUGGAUAAAGAUGAGCGUGCGUCCCAUUAGCUAGUUGGUAGGGUAACGGCCUACCAAGGCGACGAUGGGUAGCUGGUGUGAGAGCACGACCAGCCACACGGGCACUGAGACACGGGCCCGACUCCUACGGGAGGCAGCAGUGAGGAAUAUUGGUCAAUGGACGCAAGUCUGAACCAGCCAUGCCGCGUGGAGGAUGAAGGCCUUCUGGUUGUAAACUU
rnacentral:rRNA from 1 species